rnacentral:ncRNA from 1 species
UUGGUCCUAAACUUGCCAUUGUUUUUAAUAAAAAUUACACAUGCAAGCUUCAACACACCAGUGAGAAUGCCCACAAACCCCUAAACAGUCUACAGGAGCAGGCAUCAGGAACACCAGUUGUUUGCCCACAACGCCUUGCUACGCCACACCCACAAGGGCCUUCAGCAGUGAGAGAUAUUAAGAAAUAAGCGAAAGCUUGACUUAGUUAUUAUUAAUAUGGUCGGUAAAUUUCGUGCCAGCCACCGCGGUUAUACGAAAGACCAAAAACAAUGACCCACGGCGUAAAGAGUGACAAAAGUAACACAAACUAUUUAAAAGAAAACUACAACAAAGUUGUAAAAUACUACUGAUUGCAGGAAUCACAACAACAAAAUGCCUUUAAACCACUUAACCUCACGAAAGCUGAGAAACAAACUGGGAUUAGAUACCCCACUAUGCUCAGCCGUAAACAAAGACAGUAUAAAACACAAUACUAUUCGCCAGAGAACUACAAGCCAAGGCUCAAAACUCCAAGGACUUGGCGGUGCUCCACAUCAACCUAGAGGAGCCUGUCCUAUAAUCGAUACCCCCCGAUCUACCUCACCACUUUUUGAAAUUCAGCCUAUAUACCGCCGUCGUCAGCCUACCUUAUGAAAGAAGCAUAGUAGGCAAAAUAGUCAUCAACUAAAACGUCAGGUCAAGGUGUAGCAUAUAAAAUGGAAGAGAUGGGCUACACUCUCUCCCCCAGAGAACACGAACAGCAUCAAUGAAACACUGCUCGAAGGUGGAUUUAGUAGUAAGAUAAACAAGAGAACUUAUCUUAAACCAGCCCUGGAGCGCGCACACACCGCCCGUCACCCUCAUCA